GACGAACGCUGGCGGCGUGCUUAACACAUGCAAGUAGAACGGAAAGGCCCUGCUUUUGUGGGGUGCUCGAGUGGCGAACGGGUGAGUAACACGUGAGUAACCUGCCCUUGACUUUGGGAUAACUUCAGGAAACUGGGGCUAAUACCGGAUAGGAGCUCCUGCUGCAUGGUGGGGGUUGGAAAGUUUCGGCGGUUGGGGAUGGGCUCGCGGCUUAUCAGCUUGUUGGUGGGGUAGUGGCUUACCAAGGCUUUGACGGGUAGCCGGCCUGAGAGGGUGACCGGCCACAUUGGGACUGAGAUACGGCCCAGACUCCUACGGGAGGCAGCAGUGGGGAAUAUUGCACAAUGGGCGGAAGCCUGAUGCAGCAACGCCGCGUGCGGGAUGACGGCCUUCGGGUUGUAAACCGCUUUCGCCUGUGACGAAGCGUGAGUGACGGUAAUGGGUAAAGAAGCACCGGCUAACUACGUG
rnacentral:rRNA from 1 species